UCCUGCCUACGGGGGGCAGCAGUGGGGAAUAUUGGGCAAUGGGCGCAAGCCUGACCCAGCAACGCCGCGUGAAGGAAGAAGGCUUUCGGGUUGUAAACUUCUUUUAUUCGGGACGAAGAAAGUGACGGUACCGAAUGAAUAAGCCACGGCUAACUACGUGCCAGCAGCCGCGGUAAUACGUAGGUGGCAAGCGUUAUCCGGAUUUAUUGGGUGUAAAGGGCGUGUAGGCGGGAAUGCAAGUCAGCUGUGAAAACUCAGGGCUCAACCCUGCGCCUGCAUUUCAAACUGUAAUUCUUUAUUGCUGG
rnacentral:rRNA from 1 species